UGUAUCUUGAGCGCAUGGCUCAUUGGCUAUUUGGCUCAGCUAAGGUGACACUCUUAAGCCCUUAGAUACAAUCACUAAAGUGCAAUUUAUCUGAUUUAACAAUGAGCAGGUGACACCUUCCAUGUGCCCAUGCGUCAUCCAGCUUGUUUUUCCCUGAACUGGCUUUUUGUUUCAUUUUGUUUCACAGUGUCCUGCGAAGGUAAGCCAUCCAGACAUGUGCUAAAAUGACAACUACUGUGCAAAGAAUACAUACAUGACACUGUCUGCCAAGGGACAACAGAAAGAGAGCAGGAGGUAAACAGGGUCCCAUGCAGCGCGCAAGCCUGGACUGGUGCCGUCGGGGAGGAACUGGACUCGGCUGCAUUGGGUCUCAGCAUCAGUGGCACUGCUCAGGCCUUCACUCCCUCUGGAGGGAGAAAACUUGCUGGACAGAAGCAAAGGAAAUUUGAGAGGCCCCCACCACGGCAGUGAGAAGCAGAAGCAGUUGAUCCUCAUACACACAUCAUGGGAACCUGCAGCCACAAAUAAUGCUCAGCUGUUCUAUGACCAGGGCUUCCCAGGUCUCAGUGGUAAAGAAUCCACCUGCCAAUGCAAGAGACGUGAGUUUGAUCCCUGUGUCAGGAAGAUCCCCUGGAGAAGGAAACAGCAACCGACUCCAGUACGCUUGCCUGGGAAAUCCCAUGAACAGAGAAGCCUGGAAGGCUACAAUCCAUGGAGUUGCAAAAGAUUCAGACAUGACUUAGUGACCUAAACGACAACACCACUGUGGGUUCUGGGUCCUCGAGUUUUGGACUUUGUGUGGCCAGAAGGGAAAGGUGUGCAUGGAGGAGGCAAGAUGUGAUUCACUGCAGGUUUGGGUAAGAAUAGAAGGGAAAGAAAAACAUUUGCUUCAAGUGUCCUAAGUUAAGCCACUGGUCAGUGUUUCCAUGGAGCUGAGUCCCAGAUGAGAGUUCUGAAGGGUUAUGAAUGGGCCUGGGACACGAAAGAAUGAUACCUCACAGAUACAGCUGACUAAGUCAUCAUUGUUUUCAGACAAAGCGGGCAGGACAUACAGGCUACUGUUUCAUCUUCAUCUGAGAAAGGAUAGAGGAUAGAGAUAAUGAGCUAAUGUGGAAAUAAGUGUCAUCUUACAAGUGGGCUUAGGGAAUUUACUACCAGCACUACACAUUUCAGGUCUGAGGACCAGGAGCCAACAAUAACCUUCCUAUCUCAGCAACUGGCCCUCAAACCACUCCUGUAGAGACUUUAGAAACUUCUGAGAAUGAUUCUAUCAUAGAUUAUCUUUUGACUUACAUAGGUAUUUUCCAGUAUGAGUUUAUGAACAAGGAAGAAUUUGGAAAGACAGAUAAGUUCUCAUUUGUACCUUUAUAUCAUGGUAUCCUUAUGAAAUGUAUGGUUAAAUGUUUGGAUGGAUGGGUAGGUGGGUUCGGGGUGGUUUGGUGUGAAAUGUGAACUUGAGAGCUAAAGAUGAAAUACAUUUUGGAGGAAAUUAAAAUCUUCUAAGGAAGGGUACAUCAGGAGAGCUGUCUGAGGGUCGUUUGCCCAGAGAAUGGAGAGCACAACUCCAAGUCAGAGUGCUAGCCUUGAUCUGGAGACUGAAAAUCACUGUGAACAUCUCAAAUACUCCAGGACACUUACUUUCUAACUGAUACGGUAUCAGAAAAUUUAGGGAACUUAGAGAUAAGAGGGGCCUUUCCAGGUAGCUUGGCUGGUAAAGAAUCUGCCUGAAAUGCAGGAGACUCCAGUUCGAUUCCUGGGUCUGGAAGUUCCCCUGGUGAAAGGAUAGGCUAACCACUGCAGUAUUCUUGGGCUUCUCUAAUGGCUCAGACAGUAAAGAAUCUGCCUGCAGUGUAGGAGACCUGGGUUCGAUCCCUAGGUUAGGAAGAUCCCCUGGAGGAGGGCAUGGCAACCCACUCCCAAUAUUCUUGCCUGGAGAAUCCCCAUGGACAGAGGAGCCUGGCGGGCUACCGUCCAUGGGGUUACAAAGAGCUGGACAUGUCUGGGCCACUAAAGACAGCACAGUACAGAGAUCAGAGACAGUCUCAGAAUCUCUCAGGUUUGAGAGUUAUUUGGUGUCUAUAAUCCUCCCACAUAAUAAUUCAUGACGGGAGGGUAUCCCUCACCAUCCAUUGAGCUUAACUUGAGAUCCAUAGCCACCAAGAGAAUUCAGGGGUUCUAAUUGAAUUAAACAGAGGAAAUAAUUACAUCUUAAUAUCAUUCACUUCUAGUUAAAAUGUAACAUUUCCCUCCAUCACAAACAUAGGCUACAAAUCCUAGUGGUAACUGUAACUUUGUCAUCAAUAAAAAUAACAAAUAUUUUCA
ensembl:lncRNA